rnacentral:rRNA from 1 species
UAAUACAGAGGGUGCGAGCGUUGUCCGGAAUCACUGGGCGUAAAGGGCGCGUAGGCGGCCCGGUAAGUAGGGGGUGAAAUCGUGCGGCUCAACCGUACGACUGCCUUCUAAACUGCCAGGCUGGAGCACAGUAGAGGCAGGUGGAAUUCCCGGUGUAGCGGUGGAAUGCGUAGAGAUCGGGAAGAACAUCGGUGGCGAAGGCGGCCUGCUGGGCUGUUGCUGACGCUGAGGCGCGAAAGCGUGGGGAGCAAACAGGAUUAGAUACCCUGGUAGUCCACGCCGUAAACGAUGGGCACUAGGCGUCGGGGGGAGCGACCCUCCCGGUGCCGUCGCUAACGCAGUAAGUGCCCCGCCUGGGGAGUACGACCGCAAGGUUG